rnacentral:lncRNA from 1 species
CAGAAGUGGUGGCAGGAUUGCCAAACUCGAGGCCAAUCUGGGCAACUAAGUGAGACCCUGUCUCAAGAUGAAAAGCUGAGAGCUCUGGGCAUCAUCAUACUGAGACUUGCCUGCUCCACCCUCCCCCCUGGUUUCAUAGGAAGGCAGCUGGAAGCAGGUCGCAUAGCAGAUAAGCAGAGCAGGCAUUCCAGCCUGCCCUGGAUUCUCACCCUUCACCUCCCACCUUGGUCCUAGCAGCCAAUGGGGCUGGAGGGCUGACCUGACCUGUGUCACUUGUGAAUGUCCUCUUCCUGCAUUAUCCAGAUCAGGACACCUGAACAGGAUGGAGCAUGGACCCAAUAUCUACAGCACCCAGGCCUGUGCCAGGUGCUGAUGUCCGUGCCACUUCUGUCCCACCAACAGAGUCAUAGUGGCAGUCAUGAGACACUUAGUAUGAUGCAAACGCUUUUAGACUUAUAGCCUCUUCAGCCUCCCUAGAGGACAUUUAGCUCAUUUUGCCAAAGAGGUGGGAGGUGGCCUCAGAGAGACACUUAGUCAAGUCAGGAGAAAAAGUCCCCCAAGAGAAGGCCAAAGUGAGUUCUGGCAUCCACCUUGAGGGAGGCAGGGACCUGGAUCUGGGCAAAGGAUGCUGUGGGUUUGCCUCUUGGCUUUUGACUCAGGCCAGGACCUGCUUCCUAUGGAAACUUCAGGACACCAGGAAGAGUGCCCCUUCUCCCCUUCCCCCAGCAGGGAAGCUUUAACUUUCUUCCUGGAUGCUCUUAAAGAGAAACAGAUCAGGCAGGGAGGCCUUUAAAAUCCUGGGCUGCCAGCCAGUUUUGAAGGUUGUUUUGCUGGGGCCAGGGCGGGGCAGGAAUUCCAGCCUGCCAGGAGCCCAGGAGCAGCCACGUGCUGUGCAUUCACAGGGUUAAAGAGCUGUGUGGAGUUGGGCACUAGCACAGGGAGCUGGGCGGUGCUGGCCCAGACAAGGCAGCAGGCACC